ACUUAGCCGGAUGAUCAUAGGAUCCCAAAAGAUCCGAGAUACAUCCAAAGAUUUAAAGUUUAUCACAGAGAAAUCGAUCCUUUUGUGCUAUUACGUUUGAUUAAACGGACAUUUCGAUUUGCCCUCCCAUGCAAAAUCUGGCGCAGCAAUUCAUAAGGAUAGAAAUUUAAUUUUGAGAAAUAGUAGCGAGAGAAUGAUAGAGAAAAUGAAAAAGGCUCUUUGGAAGAACAGAAAAUGACAAGGGCAUGUUAGCAUGGUAGCAGUGAGUAGCUGGCACGAUGUAUUUAAUUGCGAAAUUUACAGCAACAAACGAACCCAAUAAUAAAUAUAUACAUUUUCAUUAAUUUUUAAUAUAAUAUGCGCGCAUGUUAAUAAAAUGAAAGAGAUACGGAAUGUAAGUCGAAUAGAGAGAAGUUCGGCAGGUCAUUCAUUGAUCGAGGGCCACAUUAGUUCCAUAAUCCAAGUAUAAAAUUAAAUCGUUUGUAACGUGCAAAAUAAGCCUCGAAUGGCAUUUUUGUACAGGCUGUUCGAAAGAAGGAUUCUACACCGUAAAAUGAAAUUCAAGGUCAAGCCUUUUUCUAUUCCAUCGUAUUCCACUUCACGAGAAUAAAAAGUCUGGAUCGCAACUUAACCGUUCUACAAUGAAACUUUAAUUUAUUUUUCCAAAAAGAACAGUUCAGUUGCGAUCAACCAGUUCAGUUCGAACAACCUGUAUGUGCACGAAUCUUUUUAAUUAUCUUGAUACCUAGAAUCAUAGAUUAUACAUAUAUAUCUGGCCCUCUUUUUUCGACAAGCAAGGAGGAUAAUAGCAAUUCUAAUUUGUAAAAGAAU